AAGCCGAUUUUAAAUCAAAUUAGAGGGUUCUGAAAAAGGAAUAACCUGAAACUGAAUCAACCCCAGACAGUUUUAGCUGAUUUUGAUUCAAGACGAUUCACAAAUAAAUUCAAUUCAAUUCAAUGAUAAUCUUGAUUUCAAUUUAUGAGCAAUCCAGUUUACUUUGAUUUAUAUGAUACCCUCAUAAAUUUGCUCUGUUCCUUUUUUGUUAAGACAUAAUUGGAACUAGAAUCGACAGAGAUUCAAGAGUAAACACCAAACAAGCCUUUUUCUCUCUCGUGCUCCACCUACACCGCUCCGGUAACUUGCUAGGGUGCUGCCAGCCACCAUUUUUGGCUGGCAGCACCCCAUUCUCCAUUUAUGUUGACUUCUCUUCUUCCUUUUUUUAGUGUUUGAUUUUUUUUUUCCUGAGUUUUCCUUGUUCUUUUAACUGUGUUUUAUUUUGUUUAUUUUUUUUAUUUUUAAAUAAACUCCAGACCCUAUGUGAUUUUCUAUCUUAUUUUGGAGGUUUAUGUCGUCUCCAUUUAGCGAAAGUUGUCUUUGUUGGAUCCAUAUGCAAUGUGCAGAGCUUGUUUGUCAAUGUUUGAUCUUUUUUUUUCUACUAUAUCCUGAUAGUGCAAUCCAUUCCUCCAUUGGAAUAUGGAAUUCUUACCUUUUGCAUUCGCUCAUUCGCAGCUAGUCAUUGGAUUUUCAGGCGAAGUAUAAAAGAUUUAAAUAGCUCUUCAGCCACUUUGAAGAUCUUUCUAUUCAUUUACUCAUGAUCCGUUCAUUUAUAUAAAAUUUCAUGCAAAAUCCUCAAAUCUUCUUGUAUUAAGUGGUCUUGUCCUUCCUGACUACUUGAAUUUGAUGAAUAAA
rnacentral:misc_RNA from 1 species